rnacentral:rRNA from 1 species
AUUGAACGCUGGCGGCAGGCCUAACACAUGCAAGUCGAGCGAGCGUCGGACGGGUGGGUAAUGUAUGGGGACUGCUCGUUACGGGGGGAUAACAACUGGAAACGGUGGUUAUAACGCCGAACUACGGGUUACCCCAUAUGGGAUUAGCUAGGGGGUGGGGUAAUGGCUCACCUUGGCGACGAUCCCUAGCCGGUCUGAGAGGCUGAUCGGCCACACUGGAACAGAGACACGGCCCAGACUCCUCGGGAGGCAGCAGUGGGGAAUAUUGCACAAUGGGCUCAAGCCUGAUGCAGCCAUGCCGCGUGUAUGAAGAAGGCCUUAGGGUUGUAAAGUACUUUCAGUCGGGAGGCGUUACCGACAGGAGAAGCACCGGCUAACUCCGUGCCAGCAGCCGCGGUAAUAC